rnacentral:rRNA from 1 species
GCAAGUCGAGCGGAAAGGCUCCUUCGGGGGUACUCGAGCGGCGAACGGGUGAGUAACACGUGAGUAAUCUGCCCUUGGCUUGGGAUAAGCCCCGGAAAACGGGGUCUAAUACCGGAUACGACGCACUCUCGCAUGGGAUGUGUGUGGAAAGUUUUUCGGCCAGGGAUGUGCUCGCGGCCUAUCAGCUUGUUGGUGGGGUAAUGGCCUACCAAGGCUUCGACGGGUAGCCGGCCUGAGAGGGUGACCGGCCACACUGGGACUGAGACACGGCCCAGACUCCUACGGGAGGCAGCAGUGGGGAAUAUUGGACAAUGGGCGGAAGCCUGAUCCAGCAACGCCGCGUGAGGGAUGACGGCCUUCGGGUUGUAAACCUCUUUCAGUACCGACGAAGCGCCGAUGAUGGUGGUGACGGUAGGUACAGAAGAAGCACCGGCCAACUACGUG